CUUCCUCUUGUUUCUGAAUUACAUGUGAAUGAGGAGAAAAAAUAAGACUGUGUAGGCCGAAAAUGUUUUUCGCCACGAGAGAACAUCGCCAUUUUGAAUUUUAAUAGAACUGCUGCUCACUGGAUGUGAAGGAAGAUGAAAAGAGGAUGGCUUCUACAGCUGGAUAAUGAUCCUAAACACGCCUCAAACUCCACAACAGGCUAUCUCAAGAUGUGCAAGUUGAAGGUUUUGUCAUGGCUCAUAAACAUCAUUGAAAAUCUGUGGAUAGGCCUCAAAACAGCAAUAUGUGCAAGACUUCCCAAGAAUCUCACAGUACUAGAAGCCAUUGCAAGGCAGAAAGGGCUAUCACAAAAGUGUUGCGAGUUGUGACAGGGGGUGUUCUUUGCUCAGUAACUGUAAUUUUGCUAAAAAAAAAAAAAAAAAAAGUUUUAUUCACCGCUGGAUUACAGACUAGACAAAGCUGGGAGCUGACCUAGAGUCCAAAAGCUCUAGGUUCACUGUUUUAUGUAACCUAGUGGCCCAGUGUGACAAAAUAACAAAGUCACACUUGAAGAAAAUGCCAUCAUAGACAGAAACAUUAAGAUGCAACAACACAGGUUUAUUUGCCAAGUUUCCAAUGUUUCUGAACCAUUCAGUGAACUUCAUGGUCUCUUGCAGGCAAUAGUGUUCCAUGCUGAUUUAUGUGAAACUAACACAUGGAAAACCACUGUUGUUGUCAAAUCUGAUGGUAAAAAAUGUUUUCACCUUAGGUGUCUGUUGUGAAACAGUAUAAAAUAAGUUUAACAAUGACACUGAGGGAAUUUUCCCAAACAAAAGUUUGGUUUACAAUAAAGCUUUUUCAAACCAUGUUUAAUCAGUUCAAUAUCAUUCAUUGUCAGCAAUUACAUGGUACCUUAUUUACACAAAUAACUUUGUUGCAUCACACUGUGGCUUGUUUUGAAUUUUUUUUUCUUUCAAAAUUAUCUUAUUUUUCAAAAUAGAGUUUUACUAAUUCAUUACUACAGAAUACAUAGAGCUGCUUUUAACAUAAUUGCUGUAAUUAAUGACUUUAUACACGAGACAGAGACAAGAGCCAAAGCUCAGUACACAUUAUAAAGUAUCAGAAAGGAGAUGACAGGCUGUUAGGCCAAUAACUGCAGUGGUUCAUCAUGUUACACCCGACAAGCUGCGGGAAAAGUUUUUCCUACAAAGUAGACAGAAAAAAAAAACAAACACACAGAGACAAACCUCAGGUUGCUACUUUUAGCAAAUAUGAAAAUGGCAUGAUCGCUACAACUCCACAAAAACUCCACCUCAAGCUGUUUUUGAGGUGUUAGUGCUAAAUCCCCACUUUUUUGUAGAUUUAAAAUAAUUUAAAAGAGCAAAACGAACAUGUCUGAAAGCCGAGUUAAUGGCUAAAUGUUGGAUGUACAUGUUCAAGAAACCAGGUCAAGUUCAGCGUCAAAAACAAACCAACCUUGCAGUACAUGGACAGACACUGAUCUGUAAAAACUUCUUGUAAAACUGCAAUGCACAAAUGCUUUAAACUUAUGAUGGUAAACAUGUUCAUUGAAGUAAAUGAUGGAAAUUCUGAGUUCUUGUAGAAAAAAUAAACAAGGACUUGACAAAGUCAGAGUUCAAAAGACAUCUGAGACAAAGUCCAAACUCAGGUACAGUAAGUGACAAAACACAACUAAA